UCCAGUUUUGAUCCCUCCGCUGCCCCUUGGGUACCCUGCCGCCUCCUUGAUUAUAAUCUAAUGCUCUCCUGAGGCCUCUGUUUGCCGGUUACAUGUGCCCUCCUGGAGCACUACUUGUAAAUGAAUCCGAUCUAUCGUCGCAACGAAAAAAGCGCCCCGCGACUUCUGCAACACCAGUCAGAACCUUGCCCAUUGGUUUACAUAUGUGUGGCCGCAAAUAUCUGAAACUUAAUGCCAGUUCAACAGGUUUGUUGGCAAGGGUGUCAGGUCGUUGAUUUGUGUUGAAUCGGCCUUUUCUCAAUUCUUAAGAAUUUAAUUGGAAUGCACCUGACCAGUGCUGCUUUGUGGUGCUUGCCACCAGUCCCUUGGACAGGGAAGACAUAUGAGAAUCACUGUGCAUACACUUUAUACGCAGUGGUGUGACCGCUUCCUUUGGGAAACUACCACGUUAGCGAUAUUGUGAGCGCAAUGUGACUUUCCUUCAUCUUCCUCAUCCGUACGUAGUGUGUGUCGCUUCUUCCUCGCCAUAGCUCUAGCUCGGCAAGAAUAAAGCGGUUCCUUAGAAGUGGUGGAGGUGCUGGGGUUCUGCAUACCAAGGACGUAUAAGGUCACAAAGCUGCACCCAGGUAGAGGCAGAAUCCAAAAAUGCUUGUGUACUUCAAGUAUAGCUGCACAUUACAGAAUCCGAGGCCCUCAAGAUUUAUCCGUAGCCCUCGUGUAGCCCACGAGUUCCAUAUUUUUUAUUGGGAUUGAAGAGUAACGUUUGUGCUGUAUCCCUCUAUUUCAGACUAAAUAAUGUGCAUGCAAAAUUAUAUCUUCAUUACUUUACACCAUUGCACCAAUAUCUGUUGUGCGUUGAUUUUCUGAUGUCCUUGCAUUUGCUAUAGCAAGGAUUUUUAAAAAUCAGCCACAAAAGAAAAAAUAAAUGGUCAAGGAACGAAGUGGUGUGUAGCAGCUCCCUUUUUUUUAAUCGGCGGCAAGUUUUGCACUCGUGUGUUAGCAACACUGUUUCACCAGUUGUGUACUUCAAAAGAAGUGUUACCUUUCUGCUUUGGAACUUUGUGGUUUUGUUCUGCCAGCUGCUUGACCAACACAAGCAAUAUGUACUUUGGAUAUUCCGCAAAUUCAUUCUGUAUGCAUUUGGUACAAUAAAAUUUGUUUCAAGAAUGGACAAA
rnacentral:lncRNA from 1 species